rnacentral:rRNA from 1 species
AGAGUUUGAUCCUGGCUCAGGAUGAACGCUAGCGGCAGGCCUAACACAUGCAAGUCGAGGGGUAACGUGAGUGCUUGCACUUGACGACGACCGGCGCACGGGUGCGGAACGCGUAUGGAACCUACCUUUAUCAGGGGGAUAGCCCAUGGAAACGUGGAUUAAUAUCCCAUAGUAUUAUUUUAUCGCCAUGAUGAUAUAAUUAAAGAAUUUCGGAUAGAGAUGGCCAUGCGUAUCAUUAGCUAGUAGGCGAGGUAACGGCUCACCUAGGCGACGAUGAUUAGGGGUCCUGAGAGGGAGAUCCCCCACACUGGUACUGAGACACGGACCAGACUCCUACGGGAGGCAGCAGUGAGGAAUAUUGGACAAUGGGCGAGAGCCUGAUCCAGCCAUGCCGCGUGCAGGAAGACGGCCCUAUGGGUUGUGAACUGCUUUUAUACAGGAAGAAACCAGCCUACGUGUAGGGUGCUUACGGUACUGUAAGAAUAAGCACCGGCUAACUCCGUGCCAGCAGCCGCGGUAAUACGGAGGGUGCAAGCGUUAUCCGGAAUCAUUGGGUUUAAAGGGUCCGUAGGCGGAUUAUUAAGUCAGAGGUGAAAUCCCACAGCUCAACUGUGGAACUGCCUUUGAUACUGGUAGUCUUGAAUUAGUGUGAAGUGGUUAGAAUGUGUAGUGUAGCGGUGAAAUGCAUAGAUAUUACACAGAAUACCAAUUGCGAAGGCAGAUCACUAACACUAUAUUGACGCUCAGGGACGAAAGCGUGGGGAGCGAACAGGAUUAGAUACCCUGGUAGUCCACGCCGUAAACGAUGGACACUAGUUGUUGUGCGGACUGAGUGGCUAAGCGAAAGUGAUAAGUAUCCCACCUGGGGAGUACGUUCGCAAGAAUGAAACUCAAAGGAAUUGACGGGGGCCCGCAUAAGCGGUGGAGCGUGUGUUUUAAUUCGAUGAUACGCGAGGAACCUUACCAGGGCUUAAAUGCAUAUUGACAGGGGUAGAGAGGGCUUUUCCUUCGGGCAAUUUGCAAGGUGCUGCAUGGUUGUCGUCAGCUCGUGCCGUGAGGUGUCAGGUUAAUUCCUAUAACGAGCGCAACCCCUACCGUUAGUUGCCAGCGAGUCAUGUCGGGGACUCUAACGGGACUGCCGGUGCAAACCGUGAGGAAGGUGGGGAUGACGUCAAAUCAUCACGGCCCUUACGUCCUGGGCCACACACGUGCUACAAUGGCCGGUACAGAGAGCAGCCAUCUGGCAACAGAGAGCGAAUCUACAAAACCGGUCACAGUUCGGAUCGGGGUCUGCAACUCGACCCCGUGAAGCUGGAAUCGCUAGUAAUCGGAUAUCAGCCAUGAUCCGGUGAAUACGUUCCCGGGCCUUGUACACACCGCCCGUCAAGCCAUGGAAGCCGGGAGUGCCUGAAGUCCGUCACCGCAAGGAGCGGCCUAGGGCAAGAUCGGUAACUAGGGCUAAGUCGUAACAAGGUAGCCGUACCGGAAGGUGCGGCUG